CUUUCGACCUCUGGUAGCUACC
rnacentral:piRNA from 1 species